rnacentral:rRNA from 1 species
CGGGGGAGCAAGCGUUGUUCGGAUUUACUGGGCGUAAAGGGCGCGUAGGCGGCGCAACAAGUCACUUGUGAAAUCUCCGGGCUUAACCCGGAGCGGCCAAGUGAUACUGUCGUGCUAGAGUGCGGAAGGGGCUACUGGAAUUCUCGGUGUAGCGGUGAGAUGCGUAGAUAUCGAGAGGAACACCUGCGGCGAAGGCGGGUAGCUGGGCCGACACUGACGCUGAGGCGCGAAAGCCAGGGGAGCGAACGGGAUUAGAUACCCCGGUAGUCCUGGCCUUAAACGAUGGAUACUUGGUGUCCGGGGUUACAUAGUCCCCGGGUGCCGGCGCUAACGCAUUAAGUAUCCCGCCUGGGGAGUACGGUCGCAAGACUG